rnacentral:rRNA from 1 species
UACGUAGGGCGCAAGCGUUAUCCGGAAUUAUUGGGCGUAAAGAGCUCGUAGGCGGUUUGUCGCGUCUGCCGUGAAAGUCCGGGGCUCAACUCCGGAUCUGCGGUGGGUACGGGCAGACUAGAGUGAUGUAGGGGAGACUGGAAUUCCUGGUGUAGCGGUGAAAUGCGCAGAUAUCGUCAGGAACGCCGAUGGUGAAGACAGGUGACUGGGCUAGUUCUGACACUGAGGCACGAAAGCGUGGGGAGCGAACGGG